rnacentral:lncRNA from 1 species
GCCCAACGCUGCUGCAGCGUGAGCGCGAGCGCGGCGCCUCCCGGUGAGCGCGCGGUGGUGGUGGCGGCGGCUCCUUCGUCGUCUGGCUGGCCGACUGACUGACUGACUGAGUGAGCGAGCGAGUGGCUGCACGAGGCUGGAGAUUUGCAUAUCAGAGGCGCGCCGCAUCUCACGAGGGUAACAAACUGGCAGGCUACAGAUUGCCAUGGAAACGUGUGCAGUUUGUGAGAAAUAGUUGAGAGAAUCUAGAGAAAGAAAAACAUCGCCUGGUGCUUUCCUGUGACUUCACACCUAAAGCUCCUGAUCACUGGAGGCCCUGCACUCACACUGACCCAGCAAGGAUUGUGUGAUUGGGCUGGAUCAGCAUCUCCACAGUACAAUAGCAUAAGGUGUCAGAUAUUUGCUGCCUAAGGGACAAUAGCCCUAGGGCACUCAGACUGGACGACAUUACAUACAUACACUAGUAUA